rnacentral:rRNA from 1 species
UGGGGAAUUUUGGACAAUGGGCGCAAGCCUGAUCCAGCCAUGCCGCGUGUCUGAAGAAGGCCUUCGGGUUGUAAAGGACUUUUGUCAGGGAAGAAAAGGCUGUUGCUAAUACCGACAGUUGAUGACGGUACCUGAAGAAUAAGCACCGGCUAACUACGUGCCAGCAGCCGCGGUAAUACGUAGGGUGCGAGCGUUAAUUGGAAUUACUGGGCGUAAAGCGAGCGCAGACGGUUACUUAAGCAGGAUGUGAAAUCCCCGGGCUCAACCUGGGAACUGCGUUCUGAACUGGGUGACUAGAGUGUGUCAGAGGGAGGUAGAAUUCCACGUGUAGCAGUGAAAUGCGUAGAGAUGUGGAGGAAUACCGAUGGCGAAGGCAGCCUCCUGGGAUAACACUGACGUUCAUGCUCGAAAGCGUGGGUAGCAAACAGGAUUAGAUACCCUGGUAGUCCACGCCCUAAACGAUGUCAAUUAGCUGUUGGGCAACUUGAUUGCUUAGUAGCGUAGCUAACGCGUGAAAUUGACCGCCUGGGGAGUACGGUCGCAAGAUUA